CUACGGGCGGCAGCAGUGGGGAAUAUUGCGCAAUGGGCGAAAGCCUGACGCAGCAACGCCGUGUGAGGGAUGAAGGCUUUCGGGUCGUAAACCUCUGUCAGAAGGGAAGAACGGGUAUUGGUCUAAUAGGCCUUUAUUUUGACGGUACCUUCAGAGGAAGCACCGGCUAACUCCGUGCCAGCAGCCGCGGUAAUAGGGAGGGUGCAAGCGUUAUUCGGAAUUACUGGGCGUAAAGCGCACGUAGGCCGCUUUGUAAGUCAGGGGUGAAAUCCCACGGCCUCACCGUGGAACUGCCUUUGAAACUGGAGAGCUUGAAUCCUGGAGAGGGUGGCGGAAUUCCUGGUGUAGGAGUGAAAUCCGUAGAUAUCAGGAGGAACACCGGUGGCGAAGGCGGCCACCUGGACAGGUAUUGACGCUGAGGUGCGAAAGUGUGGGGAGCAAACAGGAUUAGAUACCCGCGUAGUC
rnacentral:rRNA from 1 species